rnacentral:rRNA from 1 species
GCUCGCAAGAGUGAACGAGCUAACUGAAAGAAUACAAAAUCUAACCUAAGGGCACAAAUGAUAUAUCCUUAGUAACAGUGUCGUCCAAAAUCUGGUGCCAGCAGACUCGGUAAUACCAGAGACGCGAACGUUAGUCAUCUUAAAUUGGCAUAAAGGGUGCGCAGGCAGCUUUAAAUAAUUGAAGCUAGAAUCUAAUAGAGGUUGAUUAAAUGCUUAGUGGAGAGAUGAUAUUCUUAAAUACUAAGUGGAAAACUAAAGGCGGAGGCCGUCUUCCAUUAAAGAUUGACGCUAAGGCACGAAAGUUGGGAUAGGAAAAAAGAUUAGAGACCUUUGUACCCCCAACCGUAAACGAUGAAUGUAAGAUGCUCUAGUUAUAACUUGGGUAUCGAAGUGAAAGACGAUAAACAUUCCGCCUUGCCAGUAUACUUGCAAAAGUGAAAACAAAAAAAUUAGUCGGUUCUAAAGCAAACG